rnacentral:lncRNA from 1 species
UUGUGAGACUUCCCCUUGUGAUCAUACCAGAUUACAGAGGGGUAUUGAUUUGCCUUGUCCCUGCCCCCACCAUCACAGUGUGUCCCUGUCCAGUGUUGGUGCUGUGUGGCAUUGCUUGUGUCCAUAGGAGUCCAUCAAGGCAGAGCGGCAGAGCGGCAGAGCGGCAAGGCAGGUCAGCUUCCAGCUCUUCCAGGCUGCAUGUCCCCCUCAAUAUCCUUUCAACCCAAUGGAAAUGGAUUGAAAGAGUGAAAGUCACUGGUCUCAAAGAAUCUAUGGAAUUUAGCAUUUUGAAAAUCACAUAGCAAUUUUGGGUAGGUAUUCACAUGCACUAAAAAACCAGGCAAACAUCCGACUCCCAGGAUAAAGUGACUGAGAGCAGUAGAAGACUUGUUGAGCCUUAAGGAAUAAGAGGAAAAUUAUGUUAUGAAGUGCAGGAACAGCACAGACCCAGACGAGGGGAUGCAACCCGGAGCCAGUAACCCGGCGCCUCCUCCUCCCCAGGGCGCAGCGCUGGCUGAUCCCCGGAUACCGUGAUCACACGUCCCAGGUCCUGAGAGCACCUCAUAGGUAGACUUUUGGGACUUUUGGGACGCAGCACUUGAAGAGAGGUUUACCUAAACUUUCCUCCUGGGAGCCUGUGAUCAUUUGAAAGUAACAGAAGAAAGUUGUCAGGCUGAGGAAAGUUUCAACAGGCACUUGGUGAGAAUGGGAAGCAUCCGUUCAUUGCGAAAUCGCGGGGACAGAGGAGGAAUUCACGGGAUCAGAGCACUGAGAAACUCCAGAGGCUUCUGGU